rnacentral:tRNA from 1 species
GGUUUCUUGGCGCAGUUGGUCAGCGCGUCUCCUUAACAAGCAAUGUAGGCACCGUCUGCACGACUGGCUAAUCGGAGGAGGUCCUCAGUUCGAGCCUGGGAGAGAUCA